rnacentral:rRNA from 1 species
CCUACGGGUGGCAGCAGUGGGGAAUAUUGCACAAUGGGCGCAAGCCUGAUGCAGCCAUGCCGCGUGUGUGAAGAAGGCCUUCGGGUUGUAAAGCACUUUCAGCGAGGAGGAAGGUGGUGAGCUUAAUACGCUCAUCAAUUGACGUUACUCGCAGAAGAAGCACCGGCUAACUCCGUGCCAGCAGCCGCGGUAAUACGGAGGGUGCAAGCGUUAAUCGGAAUUACUGGGCGUAAGGCGCACGCAGGCGGUCUGUUAAGUCAGAUGUGAAAUCCCCGGGCUCAACCUGGGAACUGCAUUUGAAACUGGCAAGCUAGAGUCUCGUAGAGGGGGGUAGAAUUCCAGGUGUAGCGGUGAAAUGCGUAGAGAUCUGGAGGAAUACCGGUGGCGAAGGCGGCCCCCUGGACGAAGACUGACGCUCAGGUGCGAAAGCGUGGGGGGCAAACAGGAUUAGAUACCCGGGUAGUC